GAUUCUGGCUCAGGAUGAACGCUGGCGGCGUGCCUAAUACAUGCAAGUCGAACGAGGUAGCAAUACCGAGUGGCGAACGGGUGAGUAACACGUAGGUAACCUGCCCUUAAGCUUGGGAUACCCAGAGGAAACUUUGGCUAAUACCGGAUAACAACAGAGAAGGCAUCUUCUUUGCUUGAAAGGCCCCUUCAAGGGUCACUUAAGGAUGGACCUGCGGCGCAUUAGCUAGUUGGUGAGAUAACAGCCCACCAAGGCGAGGAUGCGUAGCCGAACUGAGAGGUUGAUCGGCCACAUUGGAACUGAGACACGGUACCAAACUCCGUACGGGAGGCAGCAGUAAGGUAGUUUCGGCAAUGGGGGAAACCCUGACCGAGCAACGCCGCGUGAGCGAUGACGGUCCUUUGGAUUUGUAAAGCUCUGUUGUAAGCCAUGAAUGACAGCUUGAGGAAAUGCAAGUUGUUUGACGACAGCUUACCAGAAAGCCACGGCUAACUACGUGCCAGCAGCGGC
rnacentral:rRNA from 1 species